UACGUAGGGUGCGAGCGUUGUCCGGAAUUAUUGGGCGUAAAGAGCUCGUAGGCGGUUUGUUGCGUCUAUCGUGAAAACCUGCGGCUUAACUGUGGGCUUGCGGUGGAUACGGGCAGACUUGAGUUCGGUAGGGGAGACUGGAAUUCCUGGUGUAGCGGUGAAAUGCGCAGAUAUCAGGAGGAACACCGGCGGCGAAGGCGGGUCUCUGGGCCGAUACUGACGCUGAGGAGCGAAAGCGUGGGGAGCGAACAGG
rnacentral:rRNA from 1 species